rnacentral:rRNA from 1 species
AACGAACGCUGGCGGCAUGCCUAACACAUGCAAGUCGAACGAGAUCUUCGGAUCUAGUGGCGCACGGGUGCGUAACGCGUGGGAAUCUGCCCUUGGGUUCGGAAUAACAGUUAGAAAUGACUGCUAAUACCGGAUGAUGUCUUCGGACCAAAGAUUUAUCGCCCAGGGAUGAGCCCGCGUAGGAUUAGGUAGUUGGUGGGGUAAGAGCCUACCAAGCCGACGAUCCUUAGCUGGUCUGAGAGGAUGAUCAGCCACACUGGGACUGAGACACGGCCCAGACUCCUACGGGAGGCAGCAGUGGGGAAUAUUGGACAAUGGGCGAAAGCCUGAUCCAGCAAUGCCGCGUGAGUGAUGAAGGCCUUAGGGUUGUAAAGCUCUUUUACCCGGGAUGAUAAUGACAGUACCGGGAGAAUAAGCUCCGGCUAACUUCGUGCCAGCCGCCGCAGUAAGAC